GGACAGGGUGGGAAAGUAGUGUGGACUGGCAGUCAGUCGCGGUGGCCUUGGAAGAUCCAAAGGUGCUGAAAACCCCUGCCCGCAAAACACACCUCUAGUUACUGAGGAGCUAGAGAAAUGUAGAUUCUAAUAAACAUGGCUUGCAGGAGUCGAUGAACAAAGGUACUUAAUGCGGACCUAAGCCUCCGUUGCUAUCGCUCCGCUAGCGGUAUCUAAAUAUUCAAAAGCAAAGUGUAAGUUGAUCAACAAACGCCCUGAUGGCAUUGGGCUUUUUCCCUUUUCUGUUUUUGUGUGGAGGGUGGAGAAGGGAGGAGGGUGGAUGGGUGGGGGAAAUCCGACAGCUUAAGGAGGUUUGAAUUGAAUAUGCACCCAGCGGCAGUGGUCUCGUAGGAAAUGGUGUUCUCGUAAGUCAGGCUGCCCCGCUGAAGCACGAGAGAGCUUUGGUUAGAGCUCAGAGCGUCAGUUCUGCUGCGAGUGCUGCCGGCAGUCGGCCCGGGCUGAGCUGUCCACUCGUCCAGGUGCUGAAGCUGGUGGAACAUUUGGGGCUCUCUCGCUGCCAUGACACUCAAUCAAAGCACCUAGAGUGGGCUGGCCGAGACCAGAGCGGGUACCGAGCAGAACAAGUACAGAGGAAGGCACUCAGAGAGCCCCAGAAUUGGAAAUAAAGCAGCCAUUUGGAUUUGGGCAGGAAGCAGCAGAGCACAGCUUUGGAUCCUUCUUUAGGGAAAUCGAGUUAUGGAUUUAUGGUCCCGGUCAAGCUCAGCCCAGCCCCAGCCAGGGGCGGGCUCAGCAGCAAGAGUUCUGGUGGCGGCGGCGGCGGCGGCAGCAGCGGCAGCAGUAGCAGCGGCAGCAGCAGCUUGGUCCUCUGACUCUCUUCGGUGACGGGUAUUCUUGGGUGGAUAAUACGGAUUACGUUGUUAUUGCUUAAGAAUACGCGUAGUCGAGGAGAGUACCAGCGGCAGGCGGGCAGCGGCCGCCCCUCCCAGCCCACCAGCUGGCCUCUAAACGCCUGUGGUUGCCAAGGUAGCACUUUUUUGAUCUUUUCCUUUCCUCGUUGUUUUCGCUCUGGGUCGCGAGGAAUUUGACCCGGGAAGCACAGUCCCAACCUAGAAAGAAGUCCGACGCAGCCUCGUGUCUUCUGGCGAU
rnacentral:lncRNA from 12 species